CUUAGUGGCAGACGGGUGAGUAACAUGUGGGUAUCUACCCUUUGGCCUGGAAUAACACGAGGAAACUUGUGCUAAUACCGGAUAAGUCUUUACGGAGAAAGCUUUAUGCACCAUUGGAUGAGCCCGCACUUGACUAGUUUGUUGGUAGGGUAAUGGCCUACCAAGACUAUGAUCAAUAGCUGAUUUGAGAGGAUGAUCAGCCACAUUGGGACUGAGACACGGCCCAAACUCCUACGGGAGGCAGCAGUGGGGAAUCUUGCACAAUGGAGGAAACUCUGAUGCAGCGAUGCCGCGUGAGUGAAGAAGGCCUUUGGGUUGUAAAGCUCUUUCGUCGGGGAAGAAAAUGACUGUACCCGAAUAAGAAGGUCCGGCUAACUUCGUGCCAGCAGCCGCGGUAAUACGAAGGGACCUAGCGUAGUUCGGAAUUACUGGGCUUAAAGAGUUCGUAGGUGGUUGAAAAAGUUGGUGGUGAAAUCCCAGAGCUUAACUCUGGAACUGCCAUCAAAACUUUUCAGCUAGAGUAUGAUAGAGG
rnacentral:rRNA from 1 species